rnacentral:SRP_RNA from 1 species
GCCAGGCAUGGUGGUGCAUGCCUGUAGUCCCAGCUACUCGAGAGGCUGCAGCAGGAGGAUUGCUUGAGCCCAGGAGUUCGAGGUUGCAGUGAGCUCUAAUUGCACCACUGCACUCCAGCCUGGGCAACAAAGCAAGAACUUGUCUU